UACGGGGGGUGCGAGCGUUGUCCGGAAUCACUGGGCGUAAAGGGCGCGUAGGUGGUGUCGUAAGUCUGUGGUGAAAGCCCGGGGCUCAACCCCGGGUCUGCCGCGGAGACUGCGAGACUCGAGUACUGUAGGGGCUGGUAGAAUGCCGGGUGUAGCGGUGGAAUGCGUAGAGAUCCGGCGGAAGACCGGUGGCGAAGGCGGCCAGCUGGGCAGUGACUGACACUGAGGCGCGACAGCGUGGGGAGCAAACAGG
rnacentral:rRNA from 1 species